CUUCAAUCUUAAAAAAAACAACACAGCAAUAAAAGCUAAUAAAAUAAUACUCAAUAAAUAAAAGUUUCUGUCUUUUGCUGUUUCCCAAGGCAACAGAAGAUAUGCAUAGACUGGCUGUUACCUCGGCCAUGUAGGUGACCAUGUUGAGAGUGAUGUCGGCGAAGGCCUCGUACAGGUAGCGACACACCACGCUGACCCAGGAGAACGGGUCUCGUGUGUACGAGCGUGUCUUAUACAGCGUCAUCACGUGAGCCAGGGCAUGACCAAACAAAGAGGACCAACUGCCACUGUAGUGCAAAUGCGGUGCAACCAGCUGGGCUACUGCUGAACAACAAAAGAGCGACUGAACGAGAAACACACAACCAGACACACACACAGACACAAACAAUCAUACAAAGAGAGAACACAGAGAAAGAAAAACACCCAAACAGACACACACACACACACACACACACACACACACACACAGACACACGGACACACACACACACAGACACAGAGACACACGGAAACACACACACCUGCACCUCGUCCCCGUGCUCGCCCACCACCUCCACGAGGCGUGAGAGGAUGUCGGAGACGGCGUGGUGCGAGAGCGGCUGGCGCAGGGCCCUGAAGAUCUGGAAGGAGCGUCCGGCGUAGUGGCGCGACGAGCUGCACAGCGCCGUCUGCAGGGCCACGUCACUCAGCGCCUGCUCCAGAUGGAAGUCUGACAUCGGAAGACCCCUUACCUGACUUGGACUCCUUGAAGAUGGACAUGACGUGGCGUAGGAAGUUGGACAGCUGCUCGGCGCUCUUGGAGUUGGGGUUCUUGGGCGUGAUGUCCUCGUGGCACCACAGCGGUCCGAAGGCCCUGAGCAACGACAGGACAGUACUCCAGGCACUGUUCCACCCCCACCACCAACCACAGUCACACCGCCAUUAACUCGCCUCUAACACGCCACACUCAUGCCGCGCUCACGCCACGCUCACGCCACGCUCACAUCAUGCUAUGGUUCACCCUCUCCAUGGGAUUGUAAACAUCAUUUUGGUGUGGUGGGUGUAUAGGUGUUAAUGGGUGUUGUCGUCAGUGUCUUAACAUUAUGACUAAUGUUUUCAGUUAGUGAUAGAUACAGUAUCUAUGGCUGUGAUCAUACAUCAGUCAAUCACACAUCCACAA